CAUCCACACAGGGGAGAGACGUUCCCCCCACGUACACACACACACCGGAGAAACCCUCCCCCGGGAGAGCCACACUCACAGGGAUAAGUUCUCACACACUCUCAGGGGAAACAAACACACUCACACAAGGAUAAGUUCUCUCUCUCUCACACACACACACACUCAGGGGAAACACAAACACACAAGGAGAAAUUCUACACACACACACAGUCGGGAGAUACAUACACUAACACAGGGAGAAAUUCCCCCCACACACACAGACACACUCAGGGGAGAUACAUACACACACACAGGGAGAAAUCCACACACAUACACUCAGGGGAGAUAUACACACACUCACAACAAAGAUGGAGAAAUUGUCCCUACACUCAGGUAGAUCCAUACACAUGCAAGAGAAAUUCUCCUCUCUCCCCUCCACCCCAGCCCCCCACCACAUACAGACACAUGAGAAAUUCUUCCCACAUACACACAUAUGGAAGAUCUCCCACACACAAGACAUUCUCCCCCCACAUAUACACACACUGGAGACCCCCCACAUAUGCACAACAUGGAAGAUACACACUGGUGAUUUUCAAACCCUGAUCCCCUGUACAGCAGUAUGAGGGAGUGGGAGGCUUACUACUAGAUUAUUGCUACAUCUAACCAGGUGAUAUUUCUUUGAAAAAAAUUCAUCCCUUUCAUAGAUUUUAAGGUUAGAUGAGAAUUUUAUGAUAAUCUCUUCUGACCUCCUGCAUAACAGCAGACAUAGCAUUUUCACCAAGCAAUUCCUGCAUCUGAGGUAAAGUGAUCGGCAUCUAAAUACUUGAUUAGAAGGGGACCCUCUGAAGAGUCCAGAUAUGAGGUCUGGAAAUGGACUGAAGUUGAACAAAUGCUCUCAGUUUCUGCAAUAACAAACAUUUGGUUCUAGUAACUCCAUGCCUAUCCGAAUCCUCCACAUUCACUUUCAGCGAUGCAAAGUUGUUCUGUUCCUUAAGAACUGAUGCUUGAGUUUCCACAACUAUUGUGCAUUUUCUGCCUUUUUGGGCUUGUCUACAUUACCCACAGGAUCAACGGGCAGCAAUCAAUCCACCAGGGGUCAUCUAGUCUAGACAUGAUAAAUCGACUGCCAAUUGAUAAAUGAUAAAUUGACUCAGGCACUCCACCGGAGCGAGAGGCGUAGACGGAGUUGACAGGGGAGCGUCAGCAGUCGACUCACCACAGUGAAGACACUGCGAAAAGGCAGCAUGGGCUCCGAAGACAGAGCAGUGAGUGCAGGAGACCUGGGUUCCAGUCCGUGCUCGAUCGCUACUGACCUACAUGUCACCUUCGGACCAUCAGCAUUCUGGCCCAUCUGCUCCACUUUCUGCAUGGAGACUGAUGAUAGCCUGGCAGUGAGGCUCCCAGCAUCAACUACCGAAAGGAAUUAAAUCUUAUGUCAGCCCCCCAAAACGUUGGCAGUGCACAGAUGACACUAUUAGCAGGCCCAGAAGAGGUGACUGAACACCAGCACUUAAUGGCUGCUGCUGGUUAGCUCUGCGUGCUCUGAUUCCAAAGUGAUGGGCAUGAUAUAAAAAGCUUAGCCAGCCAGAAGCUUGCACUGUUGCGGUCUAUGCUGUCUCAUGCGAUGGGGUCUGCCAGAGGACUCCUUCAGGGCUGCCAAUCUGGCAUCUUUCACAAGCACCAAAUUCAUACCAAGAAAACAAUGCAAUGAAAUGUAAAGGAAUAAACCAGAGCAGUUCCAGGAAACCUUUUCAACUGCAG